rnacentral:rRNA from 1 species
AUUGAACGCUGGCGGCAGGCCUAACACAUGCAAGUCGAGCGGAGCGGCGGACGGGUGAGUAAUGCCUAGGAAUCUGCCUGGUAGUGGGGGAUAAAGUACGGAAAAGGGAGCUAAUACCGCAUACUAGUAGAUGAGUCUAGGUCGGUAUAUCUUGUUGGUGGGGUAAAGGCCUAACAAGGCGACGAUCCGGAGCUGGUCUGAGAGGAUGAUCAGUCCCACUGGAACGGAGACACGGUCCAGACUCCGACGGGAGGCAGCAGUGGGGAAUAUUGGCCAAUGGGCGAAAGCCUGAUCCAGCAAUGCCGCGUGAGUGAAGAAGGUCUUCGGAUUGUAAAACACUUUAAGUUGGGAGGCGUUACCAACAGAAUAAGCACCGGCUAACUUCGUGCCAGCAGCCGCGGUAAUUC